GUGCCAGCCGCCGCGGUAAUACGGAGGAUGCAAGCGUUAUCCGGAUUCACUGGGUUUAAAGGGUGCGCAGGCGGACAUUUAAGUCAGGGGUGAAAUCCUACAGCUUAACUGUAGAACUGCCCUUGAUACUGAAUGCCUAGAGUAAAGCUGAAGUGGGCGGAAUGUGUUGUGUAGCGGUGAAAUGCUUAGAUAUAACACAGAACACCAAUCGCGAAGGCAGCUCACUAAACUUUAACUGACGCUCAUGCACGAAAGCGUGGGGAGCAAACAGGAUUAGAUACCCUGGUAGUCCACGCCCUAAACGAUGAUCACUCGCUGUUGGCGAUAUAUUGUCAGUGGCUAAGCAAAAGUGAUAAGUGAUCCACCUGGGGAGUACGACCGCAAGGUUGAAACUCAAAUAAAUUGACGG
rnacentral:rRNA from 1 species